GAUGAACGCUAGCGGCAGGCCUAAUACAUGCAAGUCGAACGGUGUCUUCGGACAUAGUGGCGCACGGGUGCGUAACACGUAUGCAACCUACCUUACAUUGGGGGAUAGCCUUUCGAAAGGGAGAUUAAUACCGCAUAAGACAGUAGCUGGGCAUCCAGCAGCUGUUAAAGAUUUAUCGAUGUAAGCUGGGCAUGCGUCCAAUUAGCUAGUUGGUGAGGUAACGGCUCACCAAGGCUAUGAUUGGUAGGGGAACUGAGAGGUCAAUCCCCCACACUGGCACUGAGAUACGGGCCAGACUCCUACGGGAGGCAGCAGUAGGGAAUAUUGGGCAAUGGACGCAAGUCUGACCCAGCCAUGCCGCGUGCAGGAUGAAGGCGUUAUGCGUUGUAAACUGCUUUUGACAGGGAAGAAAUCACUUAUGCGUAAGUGUCUGACGGUACCUGUAGAAUAAGCACCGGCUAACUCCGUGCCAGCAG
rnacentral:rRNA from 1 species